AUCAAAUCUAGAAGUUUAUUGGCGUUCGAAAUUAAAAAUACCUUUUUAAAUUCUCUUUGCUAACUCGCUUGUAAUGCUUGCAGACAUUUCGGCCUGGGACUUCGGUCAGGAAGCGGUAUCCAGUGCAUAAUCUGUAGUUAAUGCAGAUUCCACCGAGUGUCCAGCACGGAGUUGUCAUCAUCGAUCCUGAGAAUGGAAUUUUUAAUAUGAAUGCUAGUAGGACCUAUAUUAUAUUCUUUUAGCUUAGAGAUUCUUCAGUGGGCAAGAAGUUUCUGGAAAUGUAUGUAUCAAUAUU